rnacentral:rRNA from 1 species
GUGGGGAAUAUUGGACAAUGGGGGGAACCCUGAUCCAGCCAUGCCGCGUGUGUGAAGAAGGCCUUUUGGUUGUAAAGCACUUUGAGCGAGGAGGAGGCUACUCUAGUUAAUACCUAGGGAUAGUGGACGUUACUCGCAGAAUAAGCACCGGCUAACUCUGUGCCAGCAGCCGCGGUAAUACAGAGGGUGCAAGCGUUAAUCGGAUUUACUGGGAGUAAAGCGCGCGUAGGUGGCCAAUUAAGUCAAAUGUGAAAUCCCCGAGCUUAACUUGGGAAUUGCAUUCGAUACUGGUUGGCUAGAGUAUGGGAGAGGAUGGUAGAAUUCCAGGUGUAGCGGUGAAAUGCGUAGAGAUCUGGAGGAAUACCGAUGGCGAAGGCAGCCAUCUGGCCUAAUACUGACACUGAGGUGCGAAAGCAUGGGGAGCAAACAGGAUUAGAUACCCUGGUAGUCC